AUUUUCCACAUCAUCGUCUACCCAGAAUAACCUGUUGAUUACUACCCGAACCAUUACAUUAUCAGAAUACUUAAACUCUGCGGCAAAUAAUCUAUAUUCCGAAUAUGAGGAGAAUUUUAAAAGAGGUGCCUAUAUUGAUCUGAUGAUUAUGUGUGAUGAUCGGUGUUGCUUACGCAUAUUCUAAACCUGGAACUAGGGUGCAAAUUAAAUGGAAACGAUCGAUGCGAAAAAUGAAACGACUGUCCAAAACUUUCUUCUCAUCGUUAAAGAGAUCCACCUCUGGACUGUAUCCAUUUCUGCAAGAUAUGGUAAAUGUAGCUCAUGUAAUUGUAAAUCAAAUAUUUGAAUAAAUGUUAAGUUCAUCAUACG
rnacentral:lncRNA from 1 species